rnacentral:piRNA from 1 species
UGACAAAUGACAAGUUUUCUGUGUCCUUG